UGCCAAACAGAAGCACUUUUUGGAAGUUAAGGGGCUGGAGGAUAAGUUCUCACUCACUUGCUUCCAACAAGUGGUGUCCUACCAGGUUACCAUGGAGACCUCCUAACAAAUCAAAGCUUGGUGGCAUGAUGUUCUUCCAAUAACACAAACCAGGACAAAUAGGUCUUGGAUUUGGAGUGAACUUCAUGAAGCAUUUUUUGGAAAAGACUGGAAGAAUGCAAUGUGAUUCUGUGAUAGCUUCUGAGAAACCAGACAAAUCCAGAGCCAAGAAUGUAGGGGAAACUCAGGCUAUUCUUAGACGCAUCUAAUUCAACCAUGAAAAUAAUUACUGCUCUGGAUGAGGGUCUGAAAAAAAUCACGAUGGAUCUAAAGAAAAUCAGGAUGGCCAAUAUGAAGACCUUAUGCAAGAAAUUUUAAAGUCCAGAUUGAUUUUAUAUUACCUUUUCCUACUAUUCCCUCAAUGAUAUUCUACUGUUACUGAGGCUUUCGGGGAAGUAUGCAGUCAUUAAGCAAGUCAUCCUCAGCCCAGAAGACGACUGAUCGGAACAACGUAAACAACCCAGCCUGGGUUAGAUCAGUGGCCCGGCCAGCCCAGGAUACUGUCCCCAGUAGUGGCUCCAUCCUCUGCAGAAU